CCUGACUCUUUCUCCAUGUCUCCAAGGCUGACUGUGGUUUGUGCAAGAAUAAACUGCCUGAGCCUUCGCUGACAUCUGAGGCCUUGACUCGUAAGAUGCUGCCGUGAGCCCUAGGUCCUCCUCUCUGGGCUCUGCAUCGCUGCAGAGUGAGCACGAGCUCACUGGGAAAGGGCACCUUCCCGGCGGGUUCUUCAUUCUUUCCAGGGAAGGCACAGGGCCACCUUCGCUCCCAGAUCCAGAUCCACCAGGGACUGACUCCCGUGUGUCUGUGGAUGAACACUACACCAUUUGCUCCAUUUUCUGAGAAUUUCUCAGUGGAUGCUUUAAAAACCAAGGAUGAAUUCAGCAUCUCUAUUUUAUGUGGAAGCUGUUCUCAGCAUCAUUUGUUUUCUUACUUGGGUGGAAAAGAUAGCUGGGUAGGUGUUUUCCUCCCAGGGCCUUCUGAAGAGUUUAAAAACAGAGACUUUGGGUGUUGAAUGAAAGGUCCCUAUUCUUUCCUAAAAUACUCACAGAAUCCCAUGACUAAUAUAUAAAUAAAGAUUGUUGUAUUAGUCACCCAACAAUGAAAGAAGAAAUCCUCCCACUUCUCAAAUGCUUCCUUUCAGAGUAACCUCAAUGACCUGACUGAUUCAUGGAACUAAUUUGUAACAAUAAUAAAGAUGAAGCGGGACCCCAGACAAGCUUUCAGAACUCCUCCAAAGACCCUCACUGCCUCAUCCCGCUCUCCCGUUCCUCGGCCUGCAGCUGAUGCCUUUGAGGAAGCCCCUGUUUGUACUGACAGUGGCCCAGAAACCUCUUCCCCUUGCUCAGACAAUUGCCCAUGUGGCCGCUGCCAACUUGGGGCUUCCUGGACUUCACAAACUCAGGAGGUCUGAGCUCAGUGACACCCUGCAUCGCCCCUGCUCCCUGGGCUCCUGCCCUGAACCACAGCUCCCUGCUUGAUGAAGAAGGGUCAGCCACCUCAAGGUUCACUUCCGGGCAGAGGCCACAUCUGUUAGGAAAGAAAAUAGAUGAAAAGCAUAGUUAGCAAGUGCCUGCUGUUGGCCAGGCACCGAGCUAGGAGGUGUCUUAUUCCUGUGUCAUCUUAUUUCAUCAUGUAAAUGGCCCUGUGAGGCAGAGAUGGUUGUUUGAAUUAUACAGAAGGAGAAACACAGAGUCAGAAAGAUGAAGAAACUUGCUGAAGAUUGUAUUGUGUUCCAGUGGUCUCCAAACUGGGGUAGGUCCACUCUAGUGAAGGUCCCUGGUUAAUUCCUGCUGAUUAAGCACUAACCACAUGAGACUCAUCCAGCUGGCCAGUUUCCAGAUGAAACUGUGGUGGGUAAAUUCUUUGGAAAAGAAAAUGGAGUCCAUUUCCACAUGACCACAGUAAGUCUCUGUUAAUUAAUGACUGAAAAUAGCUCUGUAUGUUCACAUAGGAUCCAAAUUUGCUUCAAUAAUUAUUCAAAUAUGGAACUAGGAGUUUCAGCUACAGAAUACAAUCUCUCAGCAUUUGGAAUAUAGACAUCUUAUCUGGCCUUCCACAAAACUCCAGUGAAAACACAAACACAAACAUCACUCAAGUUUCCACACCUUUAGUCCCAGUUAUUCAGGAAGCUGAGGUGGGAGGAUCGCUUGAGCCUGGGAGUUAAAGGCUGCAGAGAACUAUGGUCAUGCCACUGCACUUCAGCCUGGGUGACAGAGCGAGACCCAGAG
rnacentral:lncRNA from 1 species